rnacentral:rRNA from 1 species
GGCAAGUCUGGUGCCAGCAGCCGCGGUGAUUCCAGCUCCAAUAGCGUAUAUUAAAGUUGUUGCAGUUAAAGAGCUCGUAGUUGAAUUUCGGGAUCGAUGGGUCGGUCAUGCCCUCGGUAUGUACUGGUCUCAUUGGUUCUCACCUUCUAAGGAACCAUGAUGUCAUUCGGUUGAUGUUGUGGGGAAUUAGGACUGUUUCCUUCAAAAAUUAGAGUGUUUAAAGCAGGC